AAAGGUAGAGGCGCGGGGCUUAUCAGUAGCAUAUAUCAGACAGCACGGGUCGUUUAUUGUGUGUGAAAGGGAGCUUUGCCGAAGUGUAAAUUGGAAGUGCGCUUAUUUACGCUGGGCAUACCGCUAAUAACGGUAUGACUGUCAUCAGAUAUGAUGGGGAGCUAUCG
rnacentral:ncRNA from 1 species